GAAUCUCUUCCUUCACAGCCGUCGAGACGCUAAAUACACAUUACACGCGAAACUUACCGUACAUAUAACCUAAAUUUCUUCCAGUUCGAUAAUUAGGCUAACUAAAAAUGAAAAGAUAAAGAUCCGACGAACUCAGAGCCAAAGGAUACGAGGAAAUCAUUUGCGUGGCUGUAAACGAUCCAUUCGUUUUGUCCGCAUGGGGAUGGUCGAAGGGAGCGAAUGAAAAAGUAAGGUUGCUGGCUGAUCCGAUGGCGAGAUUCACCCAGGCUAUGGGAAUGGGUACCGAAAUGCCGGAAUUGGGGGGAACGAGGAGCCGACGAUACUCGAUGGUGACCAUCAAUGGAAUCGUCAGAGAAAUAUUCACAGACGCUGAUAACGUUAAGCUGAUGUGCCAAGGGCCGAAAUUUUGCAUUUAAGUCGCAUGUGAGGAAAAUUGUAAUCAUUAUU